rnacentral:tRNA from 1 species
GCGGGUGUAGCUCAGGGUAGAGCACAACCUUGCCAAGGUUGGGGUCGAGGGUUCGAUCCCUUCGCCCGCUCCA